UGGGGAAUAUUGGACAAUGGGCGAAAGCCUGACGGAGCAACGCCGCGUGAGUGAUGAAGGUCUUCGGAUCGUAAAACUCUGUUUUUAGGGAAGAACAAAUGUGUAAGUAACUAUGCACGUCUUGACGGUACCUAAUCAGAAAGCCACGGCUAACUACGUGCCAGCAGCCGCGGUAAUACGUAGGUGGCAAGCGUUAUCCGGAAUUAUUGGGCGUAAAGCGCGCGUAGGCGGUUUUUAAAGUCUGAUGUGAAAGCCCACGGCUCAACCGUGGAGGGUCAUUGGAAACUGGAAAACUUGAGUGCAGAAGAGGAAAUGGGAAUUCCAUGUGUAGCGGUGAAAUGCGCAGAGAUAUGGAGGAACACCAGUGGCGAAGGCGACUUUCUGGUCUGUAACUGACGCUGAUGUGCGAAAGCGUGGGGAUCAAACAGG
rnacentral:rRNA from 1 species